rnacentral:rRNA from 1 species
UGCGUAGGCGGGUCUUUAAGUCAGGGGUGAAAUCCCGGAGCUCAACUCCAGAACUGCCUUUGAUACUGAGGAUCUUGAGUUCGGGAGAGGUGAGUGGAACUGCGAGUGUAGAGGUGAAAUUCGUAGAUAUUCGCAAGAACACCAGUGGCGAAGGCGGCUCACUGGCCCGAUACUGACGCUGAGGCACGAAAGCGUGGGAGCAAACA